AGAGUUUGAUCAUGGCUCAGAUUGAACGCUGGCGGAAUGCUUUACACAUGCAAGUCGAACGGCAGCACGGGGCAACCUGGUGGCGAGUGGCGAACGGGUGAGUAAUACAUCGGAACGUGCCCAAUCGUGGGGGAUAACGUAGCGAAAGUUACGCUAAUACCGCAUACGAUCUACGGAUGAAAGCGGGGGAUCGCAAGACCUCGCGCGAAUGGAGCGGCCGAUGUCAGAUUAGGUAGUUGGUGGGGUAAAGGCUCACCAAGCCAACGAUCUGUAGCUGGUCUGAGAGGACGACCAGCCACACUGGAACUGAGACACGGUCCAGACUCCUACGGGAGGCAGCAGUGGGAAUUUUGGACAAUGGGCGCAAGCCUGAUCCAGCCAUUCCGCGUGCAGGAUGAAGGCCUUCGGGUUGUAAACUGCUUUGUACGGAACGAAAGGUCCUGGUUAAUACCUGGGGCUCAUGACGGUACCGUAAGAAUAAGCACCGGCUAACUACGUG
rnacentral:rRNA from 1 species